rnacentral:tRNA from 1 species
GGGGAUGUGGCGAAAUGGCAGACGCACCAUCUUGAGGGGGUGGCGGAGAAAUCCAUGAGAGUUCAAGUCUCUCCAUCCCCA